rnacentral:rRNA from 1 species
GGUGAACCUGCGGAAGGAUCAUUACU